rnacentral:rRNA from 2 species
CCUGCCUAUAAGACUGGGAUAACUUCGGGAAACCGGAGCUAAUACCGGAUACGUUCUUCUCUCGCAUGAGAGAAGAUGGAAAGACGGUUUACGCUGUCACUUAUAGAUGGGCCCGCGGCGCAUUAGCUAGUUGGUGAGGUAAUGGCUCACCAAGGCGACGAUGCGUAGCCGACCUGAGAGGGUGAUCGGCCACACUGGGACUGAGACACGGCCCAGACUCCUACGGGAGGCAGCAGUAGGGAAUCUUCCGCAAUGGACGAAAGUCUGACGGAGCAACGCCGCGUGAACGAAGAAGGCCUUCGGGUCGUAAAGUUCUGUUGUUAGGGAAGAACAAGUACCAGAGUAACUGCUGGUACCUUGACGGUACCUAACCAGAAAGCCACGGCUAACUACGUGCCAGCAGCCGCGGUAAUACG